GAUGAACGCUGGCGGCGUGCCUAAUACAUGCCAGUCGAGCGAACAGACGAGGAGCUUGCUCCUCUGACGUGAGCGGCGGACGGGUGAGUAACACGUGGAUAACCUACCUAUAAGACUGGGAUAACUUCGGGAAACCGGAGCUAAUACCGGAUAAUAUAUUGAACCGCAUGGUGCAAUAGUGAAAGACGGUUGUGCUGUCACUUAUAGAGGGAUCUGGGCCGCAUUAGCUAGUUGGUCAGGUAACGGCUUACCAAGGCGACUAUGCGUGGCCGACGGGAGAGGGGGAUCGGCCACACUGGAACUGAGACACGGUCCAGACGCCUACGGGAGGCAGCAGUCGGGAAUCUGCCGCAACGGGCGAAAGCCUGACGGAGCAACGCCGCGUGAGUGACGAAGGUCUUCGGAGCGUAAAACUCUGUUACUAGGGAAGAACCAAUGUGUAAGUAAAUAUGCACUGCUUGACGGUAAUUAAUAAGAAAGCCCCGGCUAACUACGUG
rnacentral:rRNA from 1 species